rnacentral:rRNA from 1 species
CUGAAAGCAUCUAAGCACGAAACUUGCCCCGAGAUGAGUUCUCCCUGACCCUUUAAGGGUCCUGAAGGAACGUUGAAGACGACGACGUUGAUAGGCCGGGGGUGUAAGCGCAGCGAUGCGUUGAGCUAACCGGUACUAAUGAACCGUGAGGCUUAACCUUACAACGCCGAAGGUGUUU